GGAUUAGAUACCCUGGUAGUCCACACCGUAAACGAUGAAUGCUAGACGACCGAUUUCACGUAGAUUGGGUGUCGAAGUUAACGCAUUAAACAUUCCGCCUGGGGAGUACGGUCGCAAGAUUAAAACUCAAAGGAAUUGACGGGGGCCCGCACAAGCGGUGGAGUAUGUGGUUUAAUUCGACGCAACGCGCAGAACCUUACCCAACCUUAACUUCCCGAGAACGGAAAGGAGACUUUCCGGUGUCCGUAAGGAAACUCGGUGAUAGGUGCUGCAUGGCUGUCGUCAGCUCGUGCCG
rnacentral:rRNA from 1 species